GCCAAGUGAGGUGGUGUACACCUGUAGUCCCAGCUACUCAGGAGGCUGAGCCAGGAGGAUCACUUGAGCCCAGGAGUUCUAGGCUUCAGUGAGCUAGGGUGGCACCACUGUACUCCAGCCUGGGUGACAGAGCAAGAUCCUGUCUCUU
rnacentral:sRNA from 1 species